rnacentral:rRNA from 1 species
AACGAACGCUGGCGGCAUGCCUAACACAUGCAAGUCGAACGAGAUCUUCGGGUCUAGUGGCGCACGGGUGCGUAACGCGUGGGAAUCUGCCCUUUGGUUCGGAAUAACAGUUGGAAACGACUGCUAAUACCGGAUGAUGACGAAGGUCCAAAGAUUUAUCGCCAGAGGAUGAGCCCGCGUAGGAUUAGCUAGUUGGUGUGGUAAAGGCGCACCAAGGCGACGAUCCUUAGCUGGUCUGAGAGGAUGAUCGGCCACACUGGGACUGAGACACGGCCCAGACUCCUACGGGAGGCAGCAGUGGGGAAUAUUGGACGAUGGGCGAAAGCCUGAUCCAGCAAUGCCGCGUGAGUGAUGAAGGCCUUAGGGUUGUAAAGCUCUUUUACCCGGGAUGAUAAUGACAGUACCGGGAGAAUAAGCUCCGGCUAACCCCGUGCCAGCCGCCGCAGUAA